GACGAACGCUGGCGGCGUGCUUAACACAUGCAAGUCGAACGGAAAGGCACUGCUUGUGUGGGGUGCUCGAGUGGCGAACGGGUGAGUAACACGUGAGUAACCUGCCCUUGACUUUGGGAUAACUUCAGGAAACUGGGGCUAAUACAGGACAGGAGAUCCUGCUGCAUGGUGGGGGUUGGAAAGUUUCGGCGGUUGGGGAUGGACUCGCGGCUUAUCGGCUUGUUGGUGGGGUAGUGGCUUACCAAGGCUGUGACGGGUAGCCGGCCUGAGAGGGUGACCGGCCACAUGGGGACUGCGAUACGGCCCAGACUCCUACGGGAGGCAGCAGUGGGGAAUAUUGCACAGUGGGCGGAAGCCUGAUGCAGCAACGCCGCGUGCGGGAUGACGGCCUUCGGGUUGUAAACCGCUUUCGCCUGUGACGAAGCGUGAGUGACGGUAAUGGGUAAAGAAGCACCGGCUAACUACGUG
rnacentral:rRNA from 1 species